rnacentral:rRNA from 1 species
UACAGAGGUGCCGAGCGUUAGGCGGAAUCACUGGGCUUAAAGCGUGUGUAGGCGGAUCGUUAAGUACCUUGUGAAAUCCCACGGCUCAACCGUGGAACUGCUGGGUAUACUGGCGGUCUUGAGCCACCUAGGGGCGAGCGGAACAAGCGGUGGAGCGGUGAAAUGCGUAGAUAUCGCUUGGAACGCCGACGGUGAAAACAGCUCGCUGGGGGUGUGCUGACGCUGAGACACGAAAGCCAGGGGAGCGAACGGG